rnacentral:rRNA from 1 species
GAUGAACGCUGGCGGCGUGCCUAAUACAUGCAAGUCGAGCGAACGGACGAGAAGCUUGCUUCUCUGAUGUUAGCGGCGGACGGGUGAGUAACACGUGGAUAACCUACCUAUAAGACUGGGAUAACUUCGGGAAACCGUAGCUAAUACCGGAUAAUAUUUUGAACCGCAUGGUUCAAAAGUGAAAGACGGUCUUGCUGUCACUUAUAGAUGGAUCCGCGCUGCAUUAGCUAGUUGGUAAGGUAACGGCUUACCAAGGCAACGAUGCAUAGCCGACCUGAGAGGGUGAUCGGCCACACUGGUACUGAGACACGGUCCAGACUCCUACGGGAGGCAGCAGUAGGGAAUCUUCCGCAAUGGGCGAAAGCCUGACGGAGCAACGCCGCGUGAGUGAUGAAGGUCUUCGGAUCGUAAAACUCUGUUAUUAGUGAAGAACAUAUGUGUAAGUAACUGUGCACAUCUUGACGGUACCUAAUCAGAAAGCCACGGCUAACUACGUG